AGUGAACGCUGGCGGCGUGCCUAAUACAUGCAAGUCGAACGGAGUGGCGCACGGGUGAGUAAUGUAUAGCUAAUCUGCCCUACACUAGAGGACAACAGUUGGAAACGACUGCUAAUACUCUAUAGUGUAGGAUGAGGCUAUAUUGUAUCAGCUAGUUGGUGAGGUAAUGGCUCACCAAGGCUAUGACGCAUAACUGGUCUGAGAGGAUGAUCAGUAGCACUGGAACUGAGACACAGUCGAGGCUCCUACGGGAGGCAGCAGUAGGGAAUAUUGCUCAAUGGGGGAAACCCUGAAGCAGCAACGCGGCGUGGAGGAUGACACUUUUCGAAGCGUGAGCUCCUUUUGUUAGGGAAGCGGUACCUACCGAAUAAGCACCGGCUAACUCCGUGCCAGCAGCCGCGGUAAUUC
rnacentral:rRNA from 1 species